rnacentral:rRNA from 1 species
CCUACGGGUGGCAGCAGUGAGGAAUAUUGCUCAAUGGGCGCGAGCCUGAACCAGCAAAGUCGCGUGAGGGAAGACGGUCCUCUGGAUUGUAAACCUCUUUUGUCGGGGCGAAAAAGACACCACGCGUGGCGUUCCGAGAGUACCCGAAGAAAAAGCAUCGGCUAACUCCGUGCCAGCGGCCGCGGUAAUACGGAGGAGGCGAGCGUUAUCCGGAUUUAUUGGGCUUAAAGGGUGCGCAGGCGGAAGAGCAAGUCAGCGGUAAAAGUGAGAGGCUCAACCUCUUCGAGCGGUUGAAACUGGUUAUCUUGAGUGAGCGAGAAGUAUGCGGAAUGCGUGGUGUAGCGGUGAAAUGCAUAGAUAUGACGCAGAACGCCGAUUGCGAAGGCAGCAUACCGGCGCUCAACUGACGCUCAUGCACGAAAGUGUGGGUAUCGAACAGGAUUAGAUACCCGGGUAGUC